GAGAAAUUUGCUUGGAGCUGCCUGUUACAUUCAUUUCAUGUAGAAGUGGCUCAAACCGCUGAUUAUAUGACCUUUGUGCACAUAAUUUAUCUUCCUUGAAAAUGUUACCUUCAAAGCCUCGAUAACUUUUUAACUUUUCACUGUAGGAAUGUGAAAUCAAACAGAAUCAGAAAACCAGCAGAAUAUUUUAAAAGGAUGGAAGCAGACUAAACUAUUUCAAUCACAUAAACAACUUCUACUCUCAGAUCUUGCUUACAUUAGAUACAGCAUCAUGACUGGUUGAUUUCAAUCAAUAACUGAAAGAGUUUCCAAAAUUCCAAGAUCG
rnacentral:lncRNA from 1 species